rnacentral:rRNA from 1 species
GGACGGGGGAGGAACACGUGGGUAACCUGCCCUUAAGUGGGGGAUAACAUUUGGAAACAGAUGCUAAUACCGCAUAGAUCCAAGAACCGCAUGGUUCUUGGCUGAAAGAUGGCGUAAGCUAUCGCUUUUGGAUGGACCCGCGGCGUAUUAGCUAGUUGGUGAGGUAAUGGCUCACCAAGGCGAUGAUACGUAGCCGAACUGAGAGGUUGAUCGGCCACAUUGGGACUGAGACACGGCCCAAACUCCUACGGGAGGCAGCAGUAGGGAAUCUUCCACAAUGGACGCAAGUCUGAUGGAGCAACGCCGCGUGAGUGAAGAAGGCUUUCGGGUCGUAAAACUCUGUUGUUGGAGAAGAAUGGUCGGCAGAGUAACUGUUGUCGGCGUGACGGUAUCCAACCAGAAAGCCACGGCUAACUACGUGCCAGCAGCCGCGGUAAUACGUAGGUGGCAAGCGUUAUCCGGAUUUAUUGGGCGUAAAGCGAGCGCAGGCGGUUUUUUAAGUCUGAUGUGAAAGCCCUCGGCUUAACCGAGGAAGCGCAUCGGAAACUGGGAAACUUGAGUGCAGAAGAGGACAGUGGAACUCCAUGUGUAGCGGUGAAAUGCGUAGAUAUAUGGAAGAACACCAGUGGCGAAGGCGGCUGUCUGGUCUGUAACUGACGCUGAGGCUCGAAAGCAUGGGUAGCGAACAGGAUUAGAUACCCUGGUAGUCCAUGCCGUAAACGAUGAAUGCUAGGUGUUGGAG